UACGUAGGGGGCAAGCGUUGUCCGGAUUUAUUGGGCGUAAAGAGCGUGUAGGCGGCCAGGUAGGUCUGUUGUGAAAACUCGAGGCUCAACCUCGAGACGCCGAUGGAAACCAUCUGGCUAGAGUCCGGAAGAGGAGAGUGGAAUUCCCGGUGUAGCGGUGAAAUGCGCAGAGAUCAUGAGGAAGACCAGUGGCGAAGGCGGGUCUCUGGACAGUUCCUGACACUGAGGCGCGAAGGCCAGGGGAGCAAACGGG
rnacentral:rRNA from 1 species